CCUACGAGUGGCAGCAGUGAGGAAUAUUGGUCAAUGGGCGGAAGCCUGAACCAGCCAAGUAGCGUGCAGGAUGACGGCCCUACGGGUUGUAAACUGCUUUUAUACGGGAAUAACGCGCCUUACGUGUAGGGCUUUGCAUGUACCGUAUGAAUAAGGACCGGCUAAUUCCGUGCCAGCAGCCGCGGUAAUACGGAGGGUCCGGGCGUUAUCCGGCUGUAUUGGGUUUAAAGGGCGCGUAGGCCGCAUGUCAAGCGUGCUGUGAAAUGUCCGGGCUGAACCCGGGCCUUGCAGCGCGAACUAGCGUGCGUGAGUCCGCGGAAAGCAGGCGGAAGUCGUCGUGUAGCGGUGAAAUGCUUAGAGAGGACGAAGAACCCAGAUUGAGAAGGCAGCUUGCUGCAGCGGAACUGACGCUGAUGCUCGAAAGCGCGGGUAUCGAACAGGAUUAGAUACCCGUGUAGUC
rnacentral:rRNA from 1 species